rnacentral:rRNA from 1 species
AGUGAACGCUGGCGGUAGGCCUAACACAUGCAAGUCGAACGGCAGCACAGUAAGAGCUUGCUCUUACGGGUGGCGAGUGGCGGACGGGUGAGGAAUACAUCGGAAUCUACUUUUUCGUGGGGGAUAACGUAGGGAAACUUACGCUAAUACCGCAUACGACCUACGGGUGAAAGCAGGGGAUCUUCGGACCUUGCGCGAUUGAAUGAGCCGAUGUCGGAUUAGCUAGUUGGCGGGGUAAAGGCCCACCAAGGCGACGAUCCGUAGCUGGUCUGAGAAGAUGAACAGGCACACUGGAACUGAGACACGGUCCAGACUCCUACGGGAAGCAGCAGUGGGGAAUAUUGGACAAUGGGCGCAAGCCUGAUCCAGCCAUACCGCGUGGGUGAAGAAGGCCUUCGGGUUGUAAAGCCCUUUUGUUGGGAAAGAAAAGCAGCAGGUUAAUACCCCGCUGUUCUGACGGUACCCAAAGAAUAAGCACCGGCUAACUUCGUGC